rnacentral:rRNA from 1 species
GGUCCGAUACUGACGUUGAGACGCGAUAGCGUGGGGAGCAAACAGGAUUAGAUACGCUGGUAGUUCACGCUGUAAACGAUGGGCACUAGGUGUAGGAGGUAUUGAACCCUUCUGUACCGAAGCUACCGCAUUAAGUGCUUCGCCUGGGGAGUACGGCCGCAAGGCUAAACCUCAAAGGAAUUGACGGGGGUCCGCACAAGCGGUGGAUCAUGUGGUUCAAUUGGACGCAACGCGAAGAUACCUUACCUGGGCUUGACAUCCGCUGACCAUCCUGGAAACAGGACUUUCCCCGCAAGGGGACAGCGAGACAGGUGCUGCAUGGCUGUCGUCAGCUCGUGUCGUGAGAUGUUGGGUUAAGUCCACGCAACGAGCGCAACCCUCAUCCUUAGUUGCCAUCAUUGAGUUGGGCUCUCUAAGGAAACUGCCCCGGUUAACGGGGAGGAAGGUGGGGAUGACGUCAAGUCCUCAUGGCCUUUAUGUACAGGGCUCCACACGUGCUACAAUGGGCAGCACAAAGGGUUUCAAUUCCGUGAGGUGGAGCAAAUCUCAAAAAGGUGCUUUCAGUUCAGAUUGGAGUAUGCAACUCGGCUCCAUGAAGGCGGAAUCCCUAGUAAUCGCGGAUCAGCAUUCCGCGGUGAAUACGUUCCCUGGCUU